UACGAAGGGUGCAAACGUUGCUCGGAAUUACUGGGCGUAAAGCGCACGUAGGCGGCUUGUUAAGUCAGGGGUGAAAUCCUGGAGCUCAACUCCAGAACUGCCUUUGAUACUGGCGAGCUUGAGUUCGGGAGAGGUGAGUGGAACUGCGAGUGUAGAGGUGAAAUUCGUAGAUAUUCGCAAGAACACCAGUGGCGAAGGCGGCUCACUGGCCCGAUACUGACGCUGAGGUGCGAAAGCGUGGGGAGCAAACAGG
rnacentral:rRNA from 1 species